rnacentral:tRNA from 1 species
CAAGGAAUAGUUUAAUAAAAAUGUUAAUUUUGGAGAUUAGUGAUGAGGUGAUUCCUUUUCCUUGA